rnacentral:rRNA from 1 species
UACGGAGGGUGCAAGCGUUAUCCGGAUUCACUGGGUUUAAAGGGUGCGUAGGCGGGCAGGUAAGUCAGUGGAUGAAAUCUCCGGGCUUAACCCGGAAACUGCCGUUGAUACUAUCUGUCUUGAAUAUCGUGGAGGUAAGCGGAAUAUGUCAUGUAGCGGUGAAAUGCUUAGAUAUGACAUAGAACACCAAUUGCGAAGGCAGCUGGCUACACGAAUAUUGACACUGAUGCACGAAAGCGUGGGGAUCAAACAGG